rnacentral:tRNA from 1 species
AUUAGCUCAGUAGGUAGAGCACCUGACUUUUAAUCAGGGUGUCCCGGGUUCGACUCCCGG